rnacentral:lncRNA from 8 species
CACAGCCCGGAGAGGACUGGUCACCACUCAGAGCCUGGUUCCUCUCUACCCAGCACAGCCAGAAUAGGACUGGUCACCACUCAGAGCCUGGAUCGUCUCUACCCAGCACAGCCAGGAGAGGACUGGUCACCACUCAGAGCCUGGAUCCUCUCUACCCAGCACAGCCAGAAUAGGACUGGUCACCACUCAGAGCCUGGAUCCUCUCUACCCAGCACAGCCAGGAGAGGACUGGUCACCACUCAGAGCCUGGAUCCUCUCUACCCAUUACAGCCAGAAGAGGACUGGUCACCACUCGGAGCCUGGAUCCUCUCUACCCAGCACAGCCAGGAGAGGACUGGUCACCACUCAGAGCCUGGUUCCUCUCUACCCAGCACAGCCAGGAGAGGACUGGUCACCACUCAGAGCCUGGAUCCUCUCUACCCAGCACAGCCAGGAGAGGACUGGUCACUACUCAGAGCCUGGAUCCUCUCUACCCAGCACAGCCCGGAGAGGACUGGUCACCACUCAGAGCCUGGUUCCUCUCUACCCAGCGCAGCCAGGAGAGGACUGGUCACCACUCGGAGCCUGGUUCCUCUCUACCCAACACAGCCAGGAGAGGACUGGUCACCACUCGGAGCCUGGUUCCUCUCUACCCAACACAGCCAGGAGAGGACUGGUCACCACUCGGAGCCUGGUUCCUCUCUACCCAACACAGCCAGGAGAGGACUGGUCACCACUCGGAGCCUGGUUCCUCUCUACCCAACACAGCCAGGAGAGGACUGGUCACCACUCGGAGCCUGGUUCCUCUCUACCCAACACAGCCAGGAGAGGACUGGUCACCACUCGGAGCCUGGUUCCUCUCUACCCAACACAGCCAGGAGAGGACUGGUCACCACUCGGAGCCUGGUUCCUCUCUACCCAACACAGCCAGGAGAGGACUGGUCACCACUCGGAGCCUGGUUCCUCUCUACCCAACACAGCCAGGAGAGGACUGGUCACCACUCAGAGCCUGGUUCCUCUUUAGGUUUCUUCCUAGGUUCCUACCUUUCUAGAGAGUUUUUUCUAGCCACCGUGCUUCUACAUCCGUGCUUCUACAUCUGCAUUGCUUGCUGUUUGGGGUUUUAG